rnacentral:rRNA from 1 species
ACUCCUACGGGAGGCAGCAGUAGGGAAUAUUGGACAAUGGGCGAAAAGCCCUGAUCCAGCAAUGCCGCGUGAGUGAUGAAGGCCUAUGGGUCGUAAAGCUCUGNCGUAUAGGAAUAAAUGCCUGUGGUUAAUACCCGCAGGAGCUGAAGGUACUAUACAAGAAAGCACCGGCUAACUACGUGCCAGCAGCCGCGGUAAUACGUAGGGUGCUAGCG